rnacentral:misc_RNA from 1 species
UUGCUUUCUGUCACCUUUAGUUGCUCCAAUGCUCUCUCCUUGUCACCAGUUCGAAUGUAAAACAAAGAUUUGGCCAAAUGAGCCUCUCGAACUUCACUUUCACCUAAGUUUUCUUCAGCAUCAGCAAUCUUCUCCUCGAGGCUCUUGAGCUCCUCCUCAUUCUUUGCACGCAUCGAAUCCAAAAAGCUCUGAUCCUUCUCCAGUAACCCUUCGCCCACUAGGGUUUCGUACAACGGCACCAUAUCGUCAGCUUUGACGGCCGCAAAGACCUCCUCCUUGAGGCGAACCUUCUCAAUGUCAUGGACAUCGGGGUGGGUUAGGAGGAAGCGCUUGUGAGCGAGUACGAGGUGCGGUUGUUGAGUUCCCUCUUGCCCUUCCAUUACAGGUGACUCAGUGAGUUAGAUUCGUGAGCUUCCUUUCCUGGGGGGUUUCGCU